rnacentral:rRNA from 1 species
CAAUAGCGUAUAUUAAAGUUGUUGCAGUUAAAAAGCUCGUAGUUGGAUUUCGGGGCAGCCUGGCUGGUCCGCCGCAAGGCGAGUACUGGUCAGCCGCCCUUCCUCUCGAAAGCCCCGACUGCUCUUCGUUGCAGUGGUCGGGUAGUUCGGGACGUUUACUUUGAAAAAAUUAGAGUGUUCAAGGCAGGCCUACGCCUGAAUACAUUAGCAUGGAAUAAUGGAAGAGGACCUCGGUCCUAUUUUGUUGGUUUCCAGGGCCGAAGUAAUGAUUAAGAGGGACAGUUGGGGGCAUUCGUAUUUAAUUGUCAGAGGUGAAAUUCUCGGAUUUAUGAAAGACGAACAACUGCGAAAGCAUUUGCCAAGGAUGUUUUCACUAA